rnacentral:rRNA from 1 species
GACAGAGGAGCCAAGCGUUGUCCGGAUUGACUGGGCGUAAAGCGCACGCAGGCGGCCCGGCGCGUGGGGUGUGAAAGCUGGCGGCUUAACUGCCAGACGCCAUCCCAUACGGCUGGGCUCGAGCCCUGCAGAGGUCCAUGGAAUUGCCGGUGUAGUGGUGAAAUGCGUAGAGAUCGGCAGGAACACCCAGGGGGAAACCAGUGGACUGGGCAGGAGCUGACGCUCGGGUGCGAAAGCGUGGGGAGCGAACCGG